GCCUAAGAACUCCUGGACUCGCUGCACUCCUACUGCUUCUGGUCCCGGGGGAACAGGAGCACGGGUGCCGCCUGCAGGAGCAGGUGGAGAAGGACAGCGAGCUGAAGAGGGGCAGCUGCCGACAGCCAGGUGCACACGCUGCAGGAGGAGCUGGACGAGCUGAAGGGAGGGGCUCCCUAACUGAGCAGCCUGCUGCCCCCAGCCGAGUUUGGUGGCAGCAGUGGGAUCCAAAGGAGACGCCUGAUGGCUUCGAGGAUGAGAAACAGUCAUUGGUACCAGCAAAACCUUUGAGUUCUCCAUCUUUUUCACUGUUUCUGAGGGCUGUGGCGUCAGCUGCUGAGCUCCAGCCAGCGGCAGAAGAAGAGCAGUGGGCAGUGGUGGAGGUAGAGCUGGCUCCAGCUCCGUUGACACCACCCCCUCUAGCACUGGAGCCAGUGUCCCCUCCACCAGCAGUGUUGGAGGUGGAGCAAGGGCCAACAUGGGCUCCAGCAGGAGUAGGAGCUGCUUAGCU